rnacentral:rRNA from 1 species
GUGGUUUAAUUCGAAGCAACGCGAAGAACCUUACCUAAGCUUGACAUCCCAAUGACAUCUCCUUAAUCGGAGAGUUCCCUUCGGGGACAUUGGUGACAGGUGGUGCAUGGUUGUCGUCAGCUCGUGUCGUGAGAUGUUGGGUUAAGUCCCGCAACGAGCGCAACCCUUGUCUUUAGUUGCCAUCAUUAAGUUGGGCACUCUAGAGAGACUGCCAGGGAUAACCUGGAGGAAGGUGGGGAUGACGUCAAAUCAUCAUGCCCCUUAUGCUUAGGGCUACACACGUGCUACAAUGGGUAGUACAGAGGGUUGCCAAGCCGUAAGGUGGAGCUAAUCCCUUAAAGCUACUCUCAGUUCGGAUUGUAGGCUGAAACUCGCCUACAUGAAGCUGGAGUUACUAGUAAUCGCAGAUCAGAAUGCUGCGGUGAAUGCGUUCCCGGGUCUUGUACACACCGCCCGUCACACCACGGGAGUUGGAGACGCCCGAAGCCGAUUAUCUAACCUUUUGGAAGAAGUCGUCGAAGGUGGAAUCAAUAACUGGGGUGAAGUCGUAACAAGGUAGCCGUAUCGGAAGGUGCGGCUGGAUCACCUCCUUUCUAAGGA